rnacentral:rRNA from 1 species
AGACCCGAAACCCGGUGAUCUAGCCAUGGGCAGGUUGAAGGUUGGGUAACACUAACUGGAGGACCGAACCGACUAAUGUUGAAAAAUUAGCGGAUGACCUGUGGCUGGGGGUGAAAGGCCAAUCAAACCGGGAGAUAGCUGGUUCUCCCCGAAAGCUAUUUAGGUAGCGCCUCGUGAAUUCAUCUCCGGGGGUAGAGCACUGUUUCGGCUAGGGGGCCAUCCCGGCUUACCAACCCGAUGCAAACUGCGAAUACCGGAGAAUGUUAUCACGGGAGACACACGGCGGGUGCUAACGUCCGUCGUGAAGAGGGAAACAACCCAGACCGCCAGCUAAGGUCCCAAAGUCAUGGUUAAGUGGGAAACGAUGUGGGAAGGCCCAGACAGCCAGGAUGUUGGCUUAGAAGCAGCCAUCAUUUAAAGAAAGCGUAAUAGCUCACUGGUCGAGUCGGCCUGCGCGGAAGAUGUAACGGGGCUAAACCAUGCACCGAAGCUGCGGCAGCGACACUCAGGUGUUGUUGGGUAGGGGAGCGUUCUGUAAGCCUGUGAAGGUGGCCUGUGAGGGUUGCUGGAGGUAUCAGAAGUGCGAAUGCUGACAUAAGUAACGAUAAAGCGGGUGAAAAGCCCGCUCGCCGGAAGACCAAGGGUUCCUGUCCAACGUUAAUCGGGGCAGGGUGAGUCGACCCCUAAGGCGAGGCCGAAAGGCGUAGUCGAUGGGAAACGGGUUAAUAUUCCCGUACUUGGUGUUACUGCGAAGGGGGGACGGAGAAGGCUAUGUUGGCCGGGCGACGGUUGUCCCGGUUUAAGCGUGUAGGUGUGUGUUCCAGGUAAAUCCGGUUCACUUUAACACUGAGGCGUGACGACGAGGCACUACGGUGCUGAAGCAACAAAUGCCCUGCUUCCAGGAAAAGCCUCUAAGCAUCAGGUAACAUCAAAUCGUACCCCAAACCGACACAGGUGGUCAGGUAGAGAAUACCAAGGCGCUUGAGAGAACUCGGGUGAAGGAACUAGGCAAAAUGGUGCCGUAACUUCGGGAGAAGGCACGCUGACACGUAGGUGAAGUGAUUUACUCACGGAGCUGAAGUCAGUCGAAGAUACCAGCUGGCUGCAACUGUUUAUUAAAAACACAGCACUGUGCAAACACGAAAGUGGACGUAUACGGUGUGACGCCUGCCCGGUGCCGGAAGGUUAAUUGAUGGGGUCAGCGCAAGCGAAGCUCCUGAUCGAAGCCCCGGUAAACGGCGGCCGUAACUAUAACGGUCCUAAGGUAGCGAAAUUCCUUGUCGGGUAAGUUCCGACCUGCACGAAUGGCGUAAUGAUGGCCAGGCUGUCUCCACCCGAGACUCAGUGAAAUUGAACUCGCUGUGAAGAUGCAGUGUACCCGCGGCAAGACGGAAAGACCCCGUGAACCUUUACUAUAGCUUGACACUGAACAUUGAGCCUUGAUGUGUAGGAUAGGUGGGAGGCUUUGAAGUGUGGACGCCAGUCUGCAUGGAGCCGACCUUGAAAUACCACCCUUUAAUGUUUGAUGUUCUAACGUGGACCCGUAAUCCGGGUUGCGGACAGUGUCUGGUGGGUAGUUUGACUGGGGCGGUCUCCUCCUAAAGAGUAACGGAGGAGCACGAAGGUUGGCUAAUCCUGGUCGGACAUCAGGAGGUUAGUGCAAUGGCAUAAGCCAGCUUGACUGCGAGCGUGACGGCGCGAGCAGGUGCGAAAGCAGGUCAUAGUGAUCCGGUGGUUCUGAAUGGAAGGGCCAUCGCUCAACGGAUAAAAGGUACUCCGGGGAUAACAGGCUGAUACCGCCCAAGAGUUCAUAUCGACGGCGGUGUUUGGCACCUCGAUGUCGGCUCAUCACAUCCUGGGGCUGAAGUAGGUCCCAAGGGUAUGGCUGUUCGCCAUUUAAAGUGGUACGCGAGCUGGGUUUAGAACGUCGUGAGACAGUUCGGUCCCUAUCUGCCGUGGGCGCUGGAGAACUGAGGGGGGCUGCUCCUAGUACGAGAGGACCGGAGUGGACGCAUCACUGGUGUUCGGGUUGUCAUGCCAAUGGCACUGCCCGGUAGCUAAAUGCGGAAGAGAUAAGUGCUGAAAGCAUCUAAGCACGAAACUUGCCCCGA